rnacentral:rRNA from 1 species
CCAGACUCCUACGGGAGGCAGCAGUGGGGAAUAUUGCACAAUGGGGGAAACCCUGAUGCAGCGACGCCGCGUGAGCGAUGAAGUAUUUCGGUAUGUAAAGCUCUAUCAGCAGGGAAGAAGAUGACGGUACCUGACUAAGAAGCCCUGGCUAACUACGUGCCAGCAGCCGCGGUAAUACGUAGGGGGCAAGCGUUAUCCGGAUUUACUGGGUGUAAAGGGAGCGUAGACGGCGAUGCAAGCCAGAUGUGAAAGCCCGGGGCUCAACCCCGGGACUGCAUUUGGAACUGUGUCGCUGGAGUACGGGAGGGGCAGGCGGAAUUCCUGGUGUAGCGGUGAAAUGCGUAGAUAUCAGGAGGAACACCGGCGGCGAAGGCGGCCUGCUGGACCGUGACUGACGUUGAGGCUCGAGAGCGUGGGGAGCAAACAGGAUUAGAUACCCGAGUACC